rnacentral:ncRNA from 1 species
AAAAAGCCUGGUCCUGACUUUAACGUCAGUUGUAACCCAACUUACACAUGCAAGUACCCGCACCCCUGUGAGAAUGCCCUUUCCCCCCGGCAGGAGAAAAGGAGCAGGCAUCAGGCACACAUUUGCAGCCCAAGACGCCUUGCUUAGCCACACCCCCAAGGGAACGCAGCAGUGACAAACAUUAAGCCAUGAGCGAAAGCUUGACUUAGUUAGGGUUAACAGGGCCGGUAAAACUCGUGCCAGCAACCGCGGUUACACGAGAGGCCCGAAUUGACACAUCACGGCGUAAAGUGUGAUUAGAGAUAAACCAGACUAGAGCCAAACACCCCUUAUGCUGUCAUACGCCAUGGGGGUCACGAAGACCAACGACGAAGGUGGUUCUAAUAACCUAAUCUUGAACUCACGACAGCCAAGACACAAACUGGGAUUAGAUACCCCACUAUGCUUGGCCUUAAACUAAGGCGACAAACCUACAAACUUCGCCCGCCAGGGAACUACGAGCCCUAGCUUAAAACCCAAGGGACUUGGCGGUGCCUCAAACCCACCUAGAGGAGCCUGUCCUAUAACCGAUGAUCCCCGUUUAACCUCACCCCUCCUUGUUAAUCCCGCCUAUAUACCGCCGUCGCCAGUUUACCUUUUGAAAGAACAACAGUAAGCAAAAUGGGUAACAUCCAACACGUCAGGUCGAGGUGUAGCGAAUGGAGGGGGAAGAGAUGGGCUACAUUUUCUGGCAACAGAACACUACGAAGAGCACAAUGAAAUAUGUGCGGCCGAAGGUGGAUUUAGCAGUAAAAAGAAAGAAGAGAGUUCUUUUGAAACCGGCCCUGAGGCGCGUACACACCGCCCGUCACUCUCCUCGAAAAACGAAACGCCAAUAUAUAAAAUUUUAGACCAAUAGAGAGGAGGCAAGUCGUAACAUGGUAAGUGUACUGGAAGGUGCACUUGGAAUAAU